GACGACGCUGGCGGCGUGCUUAACACAUGCAAGUCGAACGAGUGGCGAACGGGUGAGUAACGCGUAUCAACCUGCCCUUCAGAGGGGGAUAACUACUGGAAACGGUAGCUAAUACCGCAUACCAUCGGAUGUGACCAGCUGGGAUUAGCUAGUAGGUGGGGGAAAGCCUCACCUAGGCGACGAUCCCUAGCUGGUUUGAGAGGAUGACCAGCCACACUGGAACUGGAACACGGUCCAUACUCCUACGUGAGGCAGCAGUGGGGAAUAUUGAACAAUGGGCGCAAGCCUGAUGCAGCCAUGCCGCGUGUAUGAAGAAGGCCUUCGGGUUGUAAAGUACUUUCAGCGGGGAGGCGUUACCCGCAGAAGAAGCACCGGCUAACUCCGUGCCAGCAGCCGCGGUAUAC
rnacentral:rRNA from 1 species